AUUGAACGCUGGCGGCAUGCCUUACACAUGCAAGUCGAACGGUAACGGGCCUUCGGGUGCCGCCGAGUGGCGAACGGGUGAGUAAUACAUCGGAACGUGCCCGAUCGUGGGGGAUAACGAGGCGAAAGCUUUGCUAAUACCGCAUACGACCUACGGCGGACAGCGGGGGACCGCAAGGCCUUGUGCGGACGGAGCGGCCGAUGGCAGAUUAGGUAGUUGGUGGGAUAAAAGCUUACCAAGCCGACGAUCUGUAGCUGGUCUGAGAGGAUGAUCAGCCACACUGGAACUGAGACACGGCCCAGACUCCUACGGGAGGCAGCAGUGGGGAAUUUUGGACAAUGGGCGCAAGCCUGAUCCAGCCAUGCCGCGUGCGGGAUGAAGGCCUUCGGGUUGUAAACUGCUUUUGUACGGAACGAAAAGCAUUCUUUUAAUACAGGGGGGUCAUGACGGUACCGUAAGAAUAAGCACCGGCUAACUACGUG
rnacentral:rRNA from 1 species